rnacentral:rRNA from 1 species
GACUCUCGGCAACGGAUAUCUCGGCUCUUGCAUCGAUGAAGAACGUAGCGAAAUGCGAUACUUGGUGUGAAUUGCAGAAUCCCGUGAACCAUCGAGUCUUUGAACGCAAGUUGCGCCCGAAGCCGUGAGGCCGAGGGCACGUCUGCCUGGGUGUCACGCAACGUCGCC